UGCCAGCAGCCGCGGUAAUACGGAGGGUGCAGGCGUUGUCCGGAAUCAUUGAGUGUAAAGGGUACGUAGGCGGGAGCCUAAGUCUGGGGUGAAAUCUUGCCGCUUAACGGUAAAAUGGCCCUGGAUACUGGGUUUCUUGAGUGCAGAAGAGGCAGGUGGAAUUCGUGGUGUAGCGGUGAAAUGCUUAGAUAUCACGAAGAACAUCAGUGGCGAAGGCAGCUUACUAUGUUACAACUAACGCUGAGGUGCGAAAGCGUGGGGAGCAAACAGGAUUAGAUA
rnacentral:rRNA from 1 species